UACGAGGGGGGCGAGCGUUGUUCGGAAUUAUUGGGCGUAAAGGGCGCGUAGGCGGUCGGAUAAGUCUUGUGUGAAAUCUUCGGGCUCAACUCGAAGUCUGCACAGGAAACUAUCUGGCUUGAGUGUGGGAGAGGUGAGUGGAAUUCCUGGUGUAGCGGUGAAAUGCGCAGAUAUCAGGAGGAACACCAACAGCGAAGGCAGAUCUCUGGGACGUUACUGACGCUGAGACGCGAAAGCGUGGGGAGCAAACAGG
rnacentral:rRNA from 1 species